GAUGCUUGGUGCACAGCAUCUAAGAACAAAAGCAAUUGCAAGUUGCUGGCCAGGGCCACUCUAGUAAAACAGAAAGGUUUCCAUGCAGAAGCCCCUGACCACCACCACCCAGUUCAGUAGUAUUUCCAAUUUGAGGCUCACGGCAUCCUGCAAAGCUUCCCCAAAGCUCUGGCACUCCCCAAAGGAAUCUCAAGGCCCUGGAGAGAAGGAAGAAAGGAAAGUUGUUUCCAGUGCUACUGAUAUCACACUCCAGUCACAGAGGCACCCAGAGGCCACCAGCCCUGUUCACCCAGUCUUGCAGAAUCAAAUUCAAACUCCUUACCAUGGCCCAAAAGUCCAGCGUCACAUUCCGGCUGUCACCUCAGCCCUUACCCUGCCACUCUCACUACUUUCUGUUGCCACCAAGCUGACCUUCCUGCUGAGUGGACCCCAUCAAUCUUACAGUUCCUUCUUAGACAUCCUUCCUGUGAAAUCCACAUGGGCUGCACCACAAAGGAUGCUCAGCCUCACCAAUCCUUAA
rnacentral:lncRNA from 13 species